AGCGAACGCUGGCGGCAGGCCUAACACAUGCAAGUCGAACUAACUCUUCGGAGUUAGUGGCGGACGGGUGAGUAACACGUGGGAACGUGCCUUUAGGUUCGGAAUAACUCAGGGAAACUUGUGCUAAUACCGAAUGUGCCCUUCGGGGGAAAGAUUUAUCGCCUUUAGAGCGGCCCGCGUCUGAUUAGCUAGUUGGUGGGGUAAAGGCUCACCAAGGCUACGAUCAGUAGCUGGUCUGAGAGGAUGACCAGCCACAUUGGGACUGAGACACGGCCCAAACUCCUACGGGAGGCAGCAGUGGGGAAUCUUGCGCAAUGGGCGAAAGCCUGACGCAGCCAUGCCGCGUGGAUGAUGAAGGUCUUAGGAUUGUAAAAUCCUUUCACCGGUGAAGAUAAUGACUGUAGCCGGAGAAGAAGCCCCGGCUAACUUCGUGCCAGCAGCCGCCGUAAUAC
rnacentral:rRNA from 1 species